rnacentral:lncRNA from 1 species
AUCAGAGUACUUAUUACAUAGCGGAAGUCUUACAAAAUAAAAGAUGAAUAUAGCAGGAACUAAAAUCUAUCCUUGGCGCCAGAAAGCUGACUGGGAGACGCCACCUAGAUCAAGUCGAAAGCCUCAGUGUUAGGCGGCUCCUCUUCGACCACCUGUUCUUCUCCUGUGGGGGUGAGAUAGCAAGAGUGAGCUCACACAUGUUCAUCGCUCAACAAGGUGUGGGGAAAAAUGUGGCAUGAACUCACCAAAGGUGGGAGUUCAAGUGAUGUGUAAGGCUGAUCAAUAAAAUAAAGGUUGAAGCUGAGCAUUGCUUUUAUAAGUUAGUCAAAAUUUUAUUAGCAAUUACUAAGUGUAAGUAAAUACCAAACCAUAGUGAUUAUUAAUAAAAGUAAUAAUAAAAUAAUCCCAAAUGCAAUGAAAUGACACAUUAAGUUUAAGUUCCAUAAAUUAAUCAUGUGAGUGUCCGGGCCGCUCAUGACCGUGAGCACGGCUAGUAUACCAGUUUUACACUCUGCAGAGGUUACACAUCUUUACCCACAAGUCGUGUUACCCAUUUUCCAUGGAGUUGAUCAGACCCCAUACACCUCUGCCAAGGAAGCGAGGCAGGGUACCACUACGAGGCCUUUAUAAAGUUCCACUAGCUUCAGAAAAUCUGCUACAGUUUAUAGGAAGCUCCAGUGCAGGAAUCCCUCGCCAGACCGCCAUCACAGCAAAAUCAACCUAAGGACCUCCCUACACUGACCACUCCCCUAUUGCCCUUGUCCCUUUCGGGUAAGGUAGUCAUCCACUAGCUUUCCUAGUUAAUCAGCCAAGGGCAUCCCAUUAAACCCUUGUGGUAGCACUGUUUUCCCGGGCGGUUCUCCAUGUUCCCAUUAACAUAAUGAUCUUAUCAUGAACAUCAAAUAAUGAACAAAUAAUAAAAAGUGUAAUCAUGAGUAGUGAAUACCUCUAUACCCAAAUCCACAUAAAGCAAUAGCAUGUACUACCCAUAAAUUUUGUAGUAAAACCAAUGGUGAAACAAGGUAUAAAGACAGUCAAAGUCUAGGGUAACCUAUUGGGUCCCAUCAAAAUUAACCUAUGCAGAUCAUUAUGAUUAAUAAGAACAUGAAUGGGUAAAAGAAGUGAUCAAGGGCACAACUUGCCUUCAACGAGCUCCUGCUCAACAGUCUCCACCUACUGAACCCCUGGAUCCACUGUAGCUGGCUCGUCUACUCGCAUCAAUACAAACAAACAUGGUAUGGCAGAAAUUAACAUCACACCAAACAGUAGAACAAAAUGCAUGAUAAUAUUCUACGCGUUGUAACGAGAUCGUAGGAACAAGAAUCACUAAAUUCGAUUUUACGGUUUCUAGUUAUGAAUUUUCGAAGUUAUUUAGUACCUAGAAUAGAGUAAUUCAAGUGAAUAAUUUUAAUUCAAGUUUCAUGGCUAAACAGUGGUACUAGGAGAUAGACAAUAUUAAAACAAAAUUAAUGCCACUGGAAUGAAUCAAUUUGGAGUUAAAAUGGAUUAAAUAUUAAUUAUACAAGUUUUGGAAUUAUUUUUGUAUUAAAAAUCAAUUCUUAAAUUUAAUUAUCUGAUUUUUCUGCUCUCUGGACUACGCGCCAAAUACCAAAGAGUUUCGGGGCUAAUCUAUAAAAAUUCCCCAGACUCAGAGUUCUUUCAGGGUGGACCUCGGGUUUGAUUCUGUAAAGUUCAGGGACUUAUUUGUAAAGCGCCUGCGCCGAAGGGGUAUCCCAGCAUGUGGGUUGUUGGAUCGACAGUGCACGACCCGGAUUAAAAGGUCGAGCCAAAUGAGCCAGUGUCCUAUUGAUCAAUUCGUAGCCGCCCAUCCCGUGAUCUACGACCACGAUUUUAAAUUACAAGAUCUAGCAGUACGCGUUCGAUCUCAGAUCGACGACCCUCGUCCAUCCAGGCCAACCAUUGAUUUAAUCUAGAUCGUUGAUUUCUUGAUCCACCAACAUGACUUCUUCUUCUACCUCCCGACUCGGCUGGGCAACGACGCCGCGCCCCAGGGCAAUGCCCCCACCGGAACCAGAUGAAGGGCCCCCAGACGCUCACAACACGGCGACAGGGGAUGGUAGCCCCCAAGCAAACUCCCACAACAAGCCCCCAAAACCAAAACCCACCGCUGCUAAAUUAUGCAUGGGACAUGGUGAUUAUGAGGGGGGGUCCAUACCAGGGAUGAUCAGAACGAUGGGGCUGACCACGGUCUAGCGGAAAUCAUCGACAUUCAAACGACACCUAGAGCUGUGAUCCUUCUCUAGCCUCCGAAUUUGACGGUCCCAGCUAGCUUCCGACACGGUUUGGUGAUGGCGAAUCCCUCCCCUCGCUCAGUUCUUCACGGUAGUAGUCAAAGUUUGUGAUCGACGGGACCAGAGAAAAG